AGUGUGGCUCAAUGGCAGAGCAGCUCAUUCGUAAUGAGCAGGUUGUGGGUUCGAUUCCCACCACU
rnacentral:tRNA from 1 species